rnacentral:rRNA from 1 species
CCAGACUCCUACGGGAGGCAGCAGUCGAGAAUCAUUCACAAUGGGGGAAACCCUGAUGGUGCGACGCCGCGUGGGGGAAUGAAGGUCUUCGGAUUGUAAACCCCUGUCAUGUGGGAGCAAAUUAAAAAGAUAGUACCACAAGAGGAAGAGACGGCUAACUCUGUGCCAGCAGCCGCGGUAAUACAGAGGUCUCAAGCGUUGUUCGGAAUCACUGGGCGUAAAGCGUGCGUAGGCUGUUUCGUAAGUCGUGUGUGAAAGGCGCGGGCUCAACCCGCGGACGGCACAUGAUACUGCGAGACUAGAGUAAUGGAGGGGGAACCGGAAUUCUCGGUGUAGCAGUGAAAUGCGUAGAUAUCGAGAGGAACAUCAGUGGCGAAGGCGACUAUCUGGCACAUAACUGACGCUGAGGAGCGAAAGCGUGGGUAGCAAACAGGAUUAGAUACCCCCGUAGA